rnacentral:rRNA from 1 species
UACAGAGGUCUCAAGCGUUGUUCGGAUUCAUUGGGCGUAAAGGGUGCGUAGGUGGCGCGCUAAGUCAGGUGUGAAAUUUCGGAGCUUAACUCCGAAACUGCAUUUGAUACUGGCGUGCUUGAGGACUGGAGAGGGGAGCAGAAUUCACGGUGUAGCAGUGAAAUGCGUAGAUAUCGUGAGGAAUACCAGAGGCGAAGGCGGCGCCCUGGACAAAUGCUGACGCUCAGGCACGAAAGCGUGGGGAGCAAAAGGG